rnacentral:rRNA from 1 species
AGCAGCCGCGGUAAUUCCAGCUCCAAUAGCGUAUAUUAAAGUUGUUGCAGUUAAAAAGCUCGUAGUUGAAUUUCGGGAUCAGUACGUCGGUCGUGCCUUCGGUAUGUACUGGUGUCACUGGUUCCUCCCUUCUGACGAACCGUCAUGCCAUUAAUUUGGUGUGGCGGGAAAUCAGGACUGUUACUUUGAAAAAAUUAGAGUGUUUAAAGCAGGCAAGCGCUUGAAUACAUUAGCAUGGAAUAAUGAAAUAGGACGUUUGAUCCUAUUUUGUUGGUUUCUAGGAUUGACGUAAUGAUUAAUAGGGAUAGUUGGGGGCAUUAGUAUUCAAUUGUCAGAGGUGAAAUUCUUGGAUUUAUUGAAGACUAACUACUGCGAAAGCAUUUGCCAAGGAUGUUUUCAUUAAUCAAGAACGAAAGUUAGGGGAUCGAAGACGAUCAGAUACCGUCGUAGUCUUAACCAUAAACUAUGCCGACUAGGGAUCGGAUGAUGUUAAUUUUUUAAUGACUCAUUCGGCGCCUUA